AGCGAACGCUGGCGGCAGGCCUAACACAUGCAAGUCGAACGACCCUUUCGGGGUUAGUGGCGGACGGGUGGGUAACACGUCGGAACGUGCCUUUAGGCUCGGAAUAACUCAGGGAAACUUGUGCUAAUACCGAAUGUGCCCUUCGGGGGAAGGAUUUAUCGCCGUUAGAGCGGCACGCGUUCGUUUAGCUAGUUGGUUGUGGUAAUGGCGCACCAAGGCGACGAUCAGUAGCUGGUCUGAGAGGAUGAUCAGCCACAUUGGGACUGAGACACGGCCCAGACUCCUACGGGAGGCAGCAGUGGGGAAUCUUGCGCAAUGGGCGAAAGCCUGACGCAGCCAUGCCGCGUGAAUGAUGAAGGUCUUAGGAUUGUAAAAUUCUUUCACCGGGGACGAUAAUGACGGUACCCGGAGAAGAAGCCCCGGCUAACUUCGUG
rnacentral:rRNA from 1 species